CGUAAACUAACUCCUACCUCCUGUCUUUUUUAUUUGCAUCUUACUGCUCCAAAUCUUCUUCAUGAAUCAGUUAUAAAUAAAAAUGGAAUUUUCAGUUCAUGCGCAGAUAUUAGAUAAUGGAUUGCACCUAUCAGCUGAAUCGGAUGCAUUGUUCUUCUUACAACAUUUGAUAUGUCGCAGAAUUUCGUCCUAAAUUCCGAUGUUUUGUGAUCCAAUUGAUAACUCUGAGGCUAAGAUUCAGAGGUGGCUCCAAAUUGAUGUGUAAUGUAGAGUAAUAUGUCAAAGAAAAAAAACUAGAGUGAAGUUGUGAAUUAUACUAACCCCAUUACAAGAUUAUCCUCCCCAAACAUACAUUUUUCGCUCUCUUGCUUAUGGUGAACCACCAUAGCGUUGAAGCACCUAUAUAUGUGGGGCUUCCGGUGUGAAGUA